rnacentral:rRNA from 1 species
ACCCAAGUUAUAAAGGGCCAACGGUGGAUGCCUUGGCGACAGGAACCGAUGAAGGACGUGGGAGGCUGCGAAAAGCUACGGGGAGGUGCCUACCAACCUUCGAUCCGUAGAUAUCCGAAUGGGGAAACCCCACACCCGUCAUGGGGUGUGACUCCCGCCUGAACACAUAGGGCGGGUAGAGGGAACCACGGGAAUUGAAACAUCUCAGUACCGUGAGGAAAAGAAAACAAAAGUGAUUCCGUCAGUAGCGGCGAGCGAACGCGGAACAGCCUAAACCGAACUGGUGUGAUAGCCCUACGGCGUUGCCAGUUCGGGGUUGUGGGACAUGGUAAAGGGCGCGUAGGCCCCUUACAGAGUUACAAAAUUGCUAGAUAGUGGAAGUGAUUGGAAAGUCACGCCAUAGAGGGUAACGGCCCCGUACACGAAAUCUAUGCAAUCUCUGAUCAUUGCUCCCGAGUAACGCCGAAUCCGAGAAAGUCGGCGUGAAUCAGCGAGGACCACCUCGUAAGGCUAAAUAUUCCCUGUCGACCGAUAGUGAACUAGUACCGUGAGGGAAAGGUGAAAAGUACCCCGGGAGGGGAGUGAAAUAGUACCUGAAACCGUUGGUCUACAAGCAGUCAAAGCCGUCUUCGGGCGGCGAUGGCGUGCCUUUUGAAGAAUGAGCCAACGAGUUACGGUAUGUGGCAAGGUUAACCCGUGAGGGGCAGCCGGAGCGAAAGCGAGUCUUAAUAGGGCGUAUAGUCGCAUGCUGUAGACCCGAAGCCGGGUGAUCUAUCCAUGGGCAGUGUGAAGCGAGGGUAAGACCUCGUGGAGGCGCGAACCGACCUAGGUUGAAAACUGGGCGGAUGACCUGUGGAUAGGGGUGAAAGGCCAAGCAAACCCGGUGAUAGCUGGUUCUCCGCGAAAUGCAUUUAGGUGCAGCGUUGCGUGUUCAUCCAUGGAGGUAGAGCACUGGAUGGGUUAGGGGGCCUACAAGCUUACCGACCCCAACCAAACUCCGAAUGCCAUGGAUCCAGAGCGCAGCAGUGAGACCCCGGGGGAUGAGCUUCGGGGUCGAGAGGGAAACAGCCCAGACCGUCGGCUAAGGUCCCAAAAUUCAGACUAAGUGGUAAACGAUGUGAGAUCGCAAAGACAGCCAGGAGGUUGGCUCAGAAGCAGCCACCCUUAAAAGAGUGCGUAACAGCUCACUGGUCGAGUGGUCUUGCGCGGACAAUGUAACGGGGCUCAAGUCUGAUACCGAAGCCACGGGUGCGUAUUUAUACGCGCGGUAGCGGAGCGUCGAUCUCGCUGAGAAGCGGCAGGGUAACCGGUCGUGGAGCGUGGUCGAGUGAGAAUGUUGGCAUGAGUAGCGAAAGAGGGGUGAGAAGCCCCUCCGCCGAAAGUCCAAGGGUUCCUGGGGAAGGCUAAUCCACCCAGGGUAAGUCGGGAGCUAAGGCGAGGCCGAGAGGCGUAGUCGAUGCACAACUGGUUGAUAUUCCAGUACCACUACAAGCGCGCCAAUUCCAAUUUCAGGUUGCUAAGGGGCUGACCGGGCGUUUACGCCUGACUCGAACCGACCCACCAGAAGGAGGAAAGCCGUAGGGGGACGCAGGAAGGUAGAUGAACCCGGGCGAUGGUUGUCCCGGGGUAAGCGUGUAGGGCGAGGUCUAGGCAAAUCCGGACCUCAUGAAGCCUGAGACGUGAUACGGACCCGAUUCAGGGGAAGUCAUUGAUCCUAUGCUGCCUAGAAAAGCCCAGCGGUGAGUUCUUGUGGUGCCCGUACCCCAAACCAACACAGGUGGACAGGUAGAGAAUACCAAGGUGAUUGAGAUAACUCUGGUUAAGGAACUCGGCAAAAUGCCUCCGUAACUUCGGGAGAAGGAGGACCUCGUGAUGGUGACGGCACUUGCUGCCCGAGCUUGAAGAGGUGGCACAAAAUUGUGGGGAGCGACUGUUUACUAAAAACACAGCAGCGUGCUAAGCCGUAAGGCGCUGUAUACGCUGUGACGCCUGCCCGGUGCUGGAAGGUUACGGGGAAGGGUUAGUCUUCGGACGAAGCUCUGAACCUAAGCCCCAGUAAACGGCGGCCGUAACUAUAACGGUCCUAAGGUAGCGAAAUUCCUUGUCGGGUAAGUUCCGACCUGCACGAAUGGCGUAACGACUCCCCAACUGUCUCAACCAGAGACUCAGCGAAAUUGAAGUACGAGUAAAGAUGCUCGUUAGCUGCAGAAGGACGGAAAGACCCCGUGGACCUUUACUAUAACUUGAUGUUGGGUUUUGUCAUGCGUUGUGUAGGAUAGGUGGGAGACUGGGAAGCAUUGGCGCCAGCUAGUGUGGAGUCAACCUUGAAAUACCACCCUGCGUAUGGCGAGGCUCUAACCCAGACCCGUUAUCCGGGUCGGGAACAGCGUCAGGCGGGUAGUUUGACUGGGGCGGUCGCCUCCUAAAAUGUAACGGAGGCGCUCAAAGGUUCCCUCAGCCUGGUUGGCAAUCAGGCGUCGAGUGCAAUGGCAAAAGGGAGCUUGACUGCGAGACCGACAGGUCGAGCAGGAGCGAAAGCUGGACAUAGUGAUCCGGCGGUUGCGUGUGGAAGCGCCGUCGCUCAACGGAUAAAAGGUACCCCGGGGAUAACAGGCUAAUCUUCCCCAAGAGUCCAUAUCGACGGGAAGGUUUGGCACCUCGAUGUCGGCUCAUCGCAUCCUGGGGCUGAAGCAGGUCCCAAGGGUUGGGCUGUUCGCCCAUUAAAGCGGUACGCGAGCUGGGUUUAGAACGUCGUGAGACAGUUCGGUCCCUAUCCUCUGCAGCCGUAGGUAAAUUGAGGAAAGCUAUCCCUAGUACGAGAGGACCGGGAUGGACGUAGCUCUAGUGUGCCAGUUGUCCUGCCAAGGGCAUGGCUGGUUGGCUACCUACGGACGGGAUAACCGCUGAAAGCAUCUAAGCGGGAAGCCUCUUCCAAGAUGAAUUUACCCACAGGGUUAACCUGGUAAGGCCCGUGGCAGAACACCACGUUGAUAGGCCGGAAGUGUAAGCGCAGUAAUGCGUUCAGCUGACCGGUACUAAUCGGCCGAGGGCUUGGGUUU